rnacentral:rRNA from 1 species
AGCUCGUAGUUGGAUUUCGGAACCGGCCGAUUGGUCCGUCCUCUGGAUCGUGUACUGAUCGGUCUGUUCUUCUUCGCGAAGACCGCGUGUGCCCUUAACUGGGUGGGCGCGGGAUUCGCGACGUUUACUUUGAAAAAAUUAGAGUGUUCAAAGCAGGCAGUCGCUUGAAUAUCUCAGCAUGGAAUAAUAGAAUAGGACUUUGGUCUUAUUUUGUUGGUUUCCGAGACCGAAGUAAUGAUUAAUAGGGACAGUUGGGGGCAUUCGUAUUUCAUUGUCAGAGGUGAAAUUCUUGGAUUUAUGAAAGACGAACUUCUGCGAAAGCAUUUGCCAAGGAUGUUUUCAUUAAUCAAGAACGAAAGUUGGAGGCUCGAAGACGAUCAGAUACCGUCCUAGUUCCAACCAUAAACGAUGCCGUCUGCGGAUCGGAGGUCGCUCAUGUAAGGCUCCUUCGGCACGCUAUGAGAAAUCAAAGACUUCGGGUUCCGGGGGGAGUAUGUUCGCAAGAAUGAAACUUAAAGGAAUUGACGGAAGGGCACCACCAGGAGUGGAACCUGCGGUUUAAUUUGACUCAACACGGGAAAACUCACCAGGUCCAGACAUAGGAAGGAUUGACAGAUUGAGAGCUCUUUCUUGAUUCUAUGGGUGGUGGUGCAUGGCCGUUCUUAGUUGGUGGAGUGAUUUGUCUGGUUUAUUCCGUUAACGAACGAGACCUUAACCU